GCUUACAAUCCACUGAGACUGACUGUAUGUUGUUUAUUCAUAGUCCUAUUUACUCUUGUACGAUCCCAUUCUUUGCAUAAUUGCAUUGAUAACCCAUUAAAGUGAAGACUGGGUUGAAAUGUUAUUGUUGUCAUUUAAGGCUGUGGGAGCUGUGGCUCAGUACAAUUUGCAAAAUCUGAAUCAAGUUUACAUUCCACUGUAGCCUAUGGUUACUCUGCAACUGAGCUGUUUUUUUAUCAUUAGUUCUAGUUUAAAUGUUUAACCCCAGGAUAGUCACAUAGUAAAUUCCAUUUCUGAUGUUAAAACAUUUUUCCUCCAGUAAAUAUGUUUUAUUUAUUGAAAUCAGCUGUCCGGUUUACUGCAUCUUAUUCAUGUGCAUGUUGUUAAGCUCUCUGAUUUAUGUCAGCAUUGCAAUGUAUAUUAACAACUCAUACCACCUACCAUCAGCUAUAGCAUAACUAUGUUGGUUUGUGUCAAUGGGUGAGCAUCUAAAGAUUUACAUAGCUCUGCAGUCAACAUUUGUUUGCUUUACAGUCGAUGUGUUGUGUCAUUAAGCCCAAGAUUUAGCUUUUGAAAUAAAUCAGCAACAUUUUUAGAAGUAGGCUUUGCUCACAUUGGUCUCAUCCUUUGAGAAUUUAUGGAGUAGGGGCCUGAAUUUAAUAGAGGUUGUUCAUACUUACCACUUGUAAGUCGCUGAGGCCCUGAUCCUGCCUCGAUUUACACAUAUGCUUAACAUUCUGAGUAGUCCCAGUGAAGAGAAUGGGAUCUCUCAGCAUGUGUAAAAUUAGACACACGAGUAAGUCUUUGCAUCACCAUGGGUGUAUGUUUUGGGGCCAAACAAUUCCCCCAUGCAGCCCACAGUACAGGUCCUCCUGUUCGUGGGGUAUUUUCCUCCUGUAAUUUCUAAUGUGUUUCUGUACUUUCAGGAGUCUCCUUUGCUCCUUGAUUACAUCUCCUAAAAGAAAAAAACCACAAAGUCACGAAGGGAGCAACUAUAGAAAAGUUCGUAUCAACUGUCCUUACUGUAACACCAAAGGGGAUGAGUGAUGUAACAGGAGUGCAUAUUUCUCCUAGUUACCUCAGAGCGUUUUUCAUCCUGGAUCCUCUACUUUCCAGCUAGAUCAUCUUGAAUGGCCACCCCUUUUCCUAACGUUACAGCUCCAGUGUGACUCACUGCAUUUACAACAGUUGCCUGUCAAAGUCUAAUGGACUGUAACUUCAUAUCCUGCAGCAGUAGCUUACACAGCUCUUCUAGCAGUUUCUCAGCUAGAAUUAGUGGCUCUUAACCUGUGGUCCAUGGAGUCCUUCAGGAGAGGCCACAGAAUAAAGCCUGAAUAGGAAACAGAGGGCUUAAGGUUUCUUCAACAGUAAAGCCUUGGUCACAUAGUCAAGGCAACUGCAUGCCCUCCUACAGUGCCCUCAUUUGAAAGUACCUCACCACUGCUAAACUGCCCCCUACCAAGGCCACUUUUACACUAGAAAAAGUAUCAAAAAUUACUAAAGUAGUAGAGUGAAACCUGGCCUUGCUAAAGUAAAUGUAAAAACUCCUGAGUCAAGAUUUCACCUCUUAUACAGACAAGGCAGGUUUGUAGUUUUAAUGGGUCAGGUGCCCCUUGCUGGCCACCUACCAGACCGCUGUGAGGGGAAAUCAAGCCUCUGGUUCCCAAAGGGAGUCUACCCACUACCUCAAUCUUGGGGGUCGUAGGCACACAACUCAGCAUGCAGACCUGCAGUCUAACACACCCUUCUAAGAGCUGGAACCUACUGUCCAGCUGCGGGGCCCCUCUGGGCACAAAGAUGACCCUUUAGACUCCUCUGUACUUAAACACAGCCUUUCCCAGAACGUCACCUGAAAGGUGUGAAACCUUCUUGUUAUAGUUAGACUCUGGGCAAAAACACUUCACCACUUGUGCAUGUCUCCCAAAAGUUAAACACAACGGCUCAUUUACCUAAUCGUUAUAAAGCACAAUUAAGUACAGCUGUACAGAAAAAAAACAUGCUAACUGGAGAGAGUUAGGGAUUACAGAGAAGGCAAACACAGCAGCAUAAUUUCCAUUUAGUUUUAUAUGCCUACAAAACAGCAAUUCAUUUCAGAACUCUCCUGUGACAGACUGUGGUGGAGAUUUAGCCAUUUAAAUGAAACCUUCUGAGCCAGUAUAGUUUAAGACCAAAGACACAUUACUUGAAGUUUAGUCAAAAGAAUUUAUUAGAAAAGAUUAUGCACUACAUAAAACUAUUUUUAGAAUAUUAUUUCAGUAGACAGCACUCCAGCCUUAAACACCACAGCAUAGACUUUACCCAGCCACUGUGCUCCUGAAGAUACAUCUUUAGGAUGAGACAUUCAAGCAGCAUGCACAGUGAAACCAUUUGAAGGAGUGCGGGGAAACUCCUUGUGAUUUGCCUAAAUUCACAAAAUGUGUAACAAUUUAAUAAAUUUUCUCAAGGCAAUUUAGAUAAGAUGAAUUUGUCUUCUCAACCUUCUCAGCAUCAACUGGGCCCAGAGCUCCUGCUGCCACUUUGUAUUUUGCAUUAGUGCAUGUUGGGAAAUCCCAACAACUAGGGGUUAACACAGAGUUUCAAUAAAUAUCAACAGGAACACAGCUUUAAUACUAGUCGUUUAACAAAAAGAUGUUCACAAAGUUAAAGCACAUGCCUUCUCAUGCAGUCAUAUUAAAGUAGACCUUGCUGAUUUUUCUGGAAAAAUAUAGGAUAGUCUAUGUAUUAAGGCAAUGCAUUUUUAAUUUAAACACAUCCAUUUUAAUGGACUGCAUAUUUUCUGAUAAAUUCUUAAAUAUUUCAGUUGUAAAAAAUAAGGUUUACUGAUCACAUUUUAAUCUAUCAGAUACUCUUCAUUAGGAUUUGAAAUACAGUGGAGCAUCACUAUAAUAAUCACUGCCCCAAUAAGAAUGUGGUAGUAAGUGGCAUCUUGUCUUCCAGACAGGAGCUGUGGAAACAAAAAUUAACAAAUCCUCCCUUCCCGCCCGCAACAUGUUGAAAGCAACCAUCCCUCCAGCUCUUCACCUCCUACUUCCCUUCAAAAGGACAAUUACCUAUUUCCUAAAAGGAGCAUUAUAGUGAGGCUCAACUGUAUAGAGUAAAAAGAUAUAAAAAUCAUUAAACUCCAAAAAUUCACCAGAGGAGGAAAAUGCAAUAAAAGUAAGUACGCAUGGCGUGAUUAACCAGGAUAGACAUAGCAAUUUGCUACAA